rnacentral:rRNA from 1 species
AGCGAACGCUGGCGGCAGGCUUAACACAUGCAAGUCGAGCGGGCACUCCCGGGUGUCAGCGGCGGCCGGGUGAGUAACGCGUGGGAACGUGCCUUCUGGAUCGGCAUCACUCAGGGAAAUUUCAGCUAAUACCGGAUACGCACUCCGGGGGAAAGGCCCGCCGGCGGGGGAUCGGCUCGCGUCUGAUUGUGUAGUUGGUGAGGUACCGGCAAAACAAGGCGAGGAUCAGUAGCUGGUCUGAGCGGAUGAUCAGCCACACUGGGACUGAGACACGGCCCAGACUCCUACGGGAGGCAGCGGUGGGGAAUAUUAGAAAAUGGGCGCAAGCCUGAGCCAGCCAUGCCGCGUGAGUGAUGAAGGCCUUAGGGUUGUAAAGCUCUUUUAUCCGGGACGGUAAUGACGGUACCGGAGGAAGAAGCCCCGGCUAACUUCGUG